rnacentral:rRNA from 1 species
GACAGAGGGUGCAAACGUUGUUCGGAAUUACUGGGCGUAAAGCGCGUGUAGGCGGCAGGGUAUGUCGGAUGUGAAAUCCCGUGGCUCAACCACGGAAGUGCACCCGAAACUACCCAGCUAGAGUCUCGGAGAGGAAGGCGGAAUGCUUGGUGUAGAGGUGAAAUUCGUAGAUAUCAAGCGGAACACCGGUGGCGAAGGCGGCUCACUGGCCCGAUACUGACGCUGAGGCACGAAAGCGUGGGGAGCAAACAGG